AGCGAACGCUGGCGGCAGGCUUAACACAUGCAAGUCGAACGGGCACUUCGGUGUCCGUGGCAGACGGGUGAGUAACACGUGGGAACGUACCUUUUGGUUCGGAACAACUGAGGGAAACUUCAGCUAAUACCGGAUAAGCCCUUACGGGGAAAGAUUUAUCGCCGAAAGAUCGGCCCGCGUCUGAUUAGCUAGUUGGUAGGGUAAUGGCCUACCAAGGCGACGAUCAGUAGCUGGUCUGAGAGGAUGAUCAGCCACAUUGGGACUGAGACACGGCCCAAACUCCUACGGGAGGCAGCAGUGGGGAAUAUUGGACAAUGGGGGCAACCCUGAUCCAGCCAUGCCGCGUGAGUGAUGAAGGCCCUAGGGUUGUAAAGCUCUUUUGCGCGGGAAGAUAAUGACGGUACCGCAAGAAUAAGCCCCGGCUAACUUCGUGCCAGCCGCCGCGGUAA
rnacentral:rRNA from 1 species